rnacentral:lncRNA from 1 species
UUGCAUGAAGAGGUUUCGUGAGGUUAUUUACUUAUAGCACACAUACAAUUCAUGCCGAAGUACUGCAUAUAUAUAGGUAGGUUUGAUCUCUCAAGUUUCAUCAAUCAAUAAAUUUACGAUACUAGUCUACUUAUUUAUCAAGAUCUAAGAUCAGUCAUGGAUUUUUCUACUAAGUUUGUUGUGUUCUUUCUCAUUAUUCCCAUCCUCUUUGGUAUGGAUGCCUACUUGUGAGAUUUGUCAUAAAUUAUUUGUCACAUGUACCUUUUUUUUGUUGUUGUUUUAAUUAGCUAAUUAAUCAAAUAUACUUUUCUCUUUUUCCUAUAAAUAAAUUAUUUUUUAUCAUGUGCGAAGUUAAAUUGCUUAUACUUUUCUCUUCAAUCAGGUUGGGAAAACAUAGAAGGCAAUAAACUUAAUGUUGGAGAAUUUGACAGAAAACUGAAAGCUACGAAAGAGGAGAAAAUACAACUAGACUUUUGCAAGCAUGUUGCUCGCUGUAAAACUGGGAGACCUUGCUAUUGCUGUUUAAUCUUGGGCAGAACUGAUUGCUAUUAUACAAUGCAACUUUGUGAGCAAGGAUGUCCCAAAUUUCCCCCUCCAACUCCAAAACAUCAGAUCGAAAUUUCCCCAUGAUGUCAUGGCAUGUAUACAGGGGUCGAUCACGUGACUCAUCAUUUAGUACGGAUUUGCGUUUUGCCUAGUAUCUAAAAUAGUUAAUAAAUUUUAAUAAUUCAAAAAUAAAAAAAUAACAUGAUGAUACCUAACCGUGUGUAUUUUCCUUAGAAAUAAUAUCUCUUCAAAUGAGCAAGGAUGUCCCAAAUUUCCCCAUGAUGCCAUGGCAUGUAUACAGGGUCGAUAACGUAUAGCAAAAUAAUAUUUUGUUAAACAUAUGUAGGAGAAAGUUUUAAAAUAAAAGGAAAAAUUCAGAUCCUUGUACGUGAGCUUCUGUAUCAGUAGCAAAGCUAUCUUUUUAUCAUUGAUAC